AACCGGGCUUCGGCCCGGGGAUCAGUGGCGAACGGGUGCGUAACACGUGGGCAACCUGCCCCCGACCCUGGGAUAACCCCGGGAAACCGGAGCUAAUACCGGAUAUUCUCCUCCGACCACAUGGUCGGAAGAGGAAAGGUCCGCCGGUCGGGGAUGGGCCCGCGGCCUAUCAGCUUGUUGGUGGGGUAACGGCCUACCAAGGCGACGACGGAUAGCUGGUCUGAGAGGACGAUCAGCCACACUGGGACUGAGACACGGCCCAGACUCCUACGGGAGGCAGCAGUAGGGAAUCUUGCGCAAUGAGGGAAACCUUGACGCAGCGACGCCGCGUGCGGGAUGAAGGCCUUCGGG
rnacentral:rRNA from 1 species